rnacentral:rRNA from 1 species
UUGACGGGACCCGCACAAGCGGUGGAUGAUGUUGGUUUAAUUCGAUGCAACGACGAAAACCUUACCCACCUUUGACAUGUACGGAAUCCUUUAGAGAUAGAGGAGUGCUCGAAAGAGAGCCGUAACACAGGUGCUGCAUGGCUGUCGUCAGCCCGUGUCGUGAGGUGUUGGGUUAAGUCCCGCAACGAGCGCAACCCUUGUCAUUAGUUGCUACAUUCAGUUGGGCACUCUAAUGAGACUGCCGGUGACAAACCGGAGGAAGGUGGGGAUGACGUCAAGUCCUCAUGGCCCUUAUAGGUGGGGCUACACACGUCAUACAAUGGAUGGUACAAAGGGUCGCCAACCCGCGAGGGGGAGCCAAUCCCAUAAGGCCAUUCGUAGUCCGGAUCGCAGUCUGCAACUCGACUGCGUGAAGUCGGAAUCGCUAGUAAUCGUGGAUCAGAAUGUCACGGUGAAUACGUUCCCGGGUCUU